UACGGGGGGGGCAAGCGUUGUUCGGAAUUACUGGGCGUAAAGGGCUCGUAGGCGGCCAACUAAGUCAGACGUGAAAUCCCUCGGCUUAACCGGGGAACUGCGUCUGAUACUGGAUGGCUUGAGUUUGGGAGAGGGAUGCGGAAUUCCAGGUGUAGCGGUGAAAUGCGUAGAUAUCUGGAGGAACACCGGUGGCGAAGGCGGCUCUCUGGGACGGUACUGACGCUGAGACGCGAAAGCGUGGGGAGCGAACAGG
rnacentral:rRNA from 1 species